rnacentral:rRNA from 1 species
UACGAAGGGGGCUAGCGUUGCUCGGAAUUACUGGGCGUAAAGGGCGCGUAGGCGGCACUGUUAGUCAGGCGUGAAAGUCCUGGGCUCAACCUGGGAACUGCGCUUGAUACGGCAGAGCUAGAGGAUGGAAGAGGGUCGUGGAAUUCCCAGUGUAGAGGUGAAAUUCGUAGAUAUUGGGAAGAACACCGGUGGCGAAGGCGGCGACCUGGUCCUUGACUGACGCUGAGGCGCGAAAGCGUGGGGAGCAAACAGG